rnacentral:rRNA from 1 species
AGCGAACGCUGGCGGCAGGCUUAACACAUGCAAGUCGAACGCCCCGCAAGGGGAGUGGCAGACGGGUGAGUAACACGUGGGAACGUACCCUUUGGUUCGGAAUAACUUGGGGAAACUCAAGCUAAUACCGGAUAAGCCCUUAUGGGGAAAGGUUUACUGCCGAAGGAUCGGCCCGCGUCUGAUUAGCUAGUUGGUGAGGUAAUGGCUCACCAAGGCGACGACCAGUAGCUGGUCUGAGAGGAUGAUCAGCCACACUGGGACUGAGACACGGCCCAGACUCCUACGGGAGGCAGCAGUGGGGAAUAUUGGAUAAUGGGGGCAACCCUGAUCCAGCCAUGCCGCGUGAGUGAUGAAGGCCUUAGGGUUGUAAAGCUCUUUUACCCGGGACGAUAAUGACUGUACCGGGAGAAUAAGCCCCGGCUAACUACGUGCCAGCCGCCGCCGUAA